ACCGAGCUCCCAGGCCGGACGCGCGGUGGCCUGACGGUCGCAAGGAUUACAUUCGCCUGACCCGGCCCAGCUUGACCCUGCCCGGGCGCGCCAUGUUCGCGCGUGGGUCCCGGAGGCGCCGCUCUGCGCGUGCGCCUCCAGAGGCAGAGCACCCAGACCGGGGCCAGCCCUGCAACUCCUGUAGGGAGCAGUGCCCCGGCUUCCUGCUCCACGGCUGGAGAAAGAUCUGCCAGCAUUGCAAAUGCCCGAGGGAGGAGCACGCAGUGCACGCGGUGCCUGUGGACCUGGAACGCAUCAUGUGUCGGCUAAUCUCGGACUUCCAGCGCCACUCCAUCUCCGACGAUGACUCAGGCUGUGCAUCGGAGGAGUAUGCCUGGGUGCCCCCAGGCCUUAAGCCGGAGCAGGUAUAUCAAUUUUUCAGCUGCCUCCCAGAGGACAAAGUCCCCUAUGUCAACAGUCCUGGGGAGAAAUACAGGAUCAAGCAGCUGCUGCACCAGCUGCCCCCACACGACAGUGAGGUGAGGAGAGAGAAGACAGGAAGGGCAUGCCAGGCACAGCGCACAGCCUGGGCCAAUGCAGGGCAGGGUCAGAGGAGGAAAGGUGAGCUGAUCUGAGGUGAGUGAUCCAGACAGGCAGGGGUCAUCAGGGGACAUUCCUUGGCAAAACCACAGCUGGGCCUUGGAAGAAGAGGUGGUUACUUCAGGCAGGAGGCACCAUCUAUAGAAAGACCUAGAAGUAAACUUUCGGGGCAUGGAUGAAGUCUGGAAGAGGGGCAGGGACAGGCAUCAAGGGAGGAGCCUAGGAGA
rnacentral:sRNA from 1 species